rnacentral:rRNA from 1 species
CAGUCGAGCGGCAGCGACUUAACUGAACCUUCGGGGGACGUUAUGGGCGGCGAGCGGCGGACGGGUGAGUAAUGGCUGGGAACCUGCCUGGUAGAGGGGGAUAACCACUGGAAACGGUGGCUAAUACCGCAUGAUGUCUUUGGACCAAAGAGGGGGACCUUCGGGCCUCUCGCUACCGGAUGGGCCCAGUUGGGAUUAGCUAGUUGGUGGGGUAAAGGCUCACCAAGGCGACGAUCCCUAGCUGGUUUGAGAGGAUGAUCAGCCACACUGGAACUGAGACACGGUCCAGACUCCUACGGGAGGCAGCAGUGGGGAAUAUUGCACAAUGGGCGCAAGCCUGAUGCAGCCAUGCCGCGUGUGUGAAGAAGGCCUUCGGGUUGUAAAGCACUUUCAGCCGUGAGGAAGGCAUUGUACUUAAUACGUGCAGUGUUUGACGUUAGCGGCAGAAGAAGCACCGGCUAACUCCGUGCCAGCAGC